CCUACGGGAGGCAGCAGUAGGGAAUAUUGCUCAAUGGGGGAAACCCUGAAGCAGCAACGCCGCGUGGAGGAUGAAGGUCUUAGGAUUGUAAACCUCUUUUGUUAGAGAAGAUAAUGACGGUAUCUCACGAAUAAGCACCGGCUAAUUCCGUGCCAGCAGCCGCGGGAAUACUGAGGGUGCAAGCGUUAGUCGGAAGCACUGGGCGUAAAGUGUGCGGAGGCGGGCUUGUAAGUCAGAUGUGAAAUCCUAUGGCUUAACUACAGAACUGCAUUUGAAACUAUGAGUCUAGAGUGUGGGAGAGGUAGGUGGAAUUCUAGGUGUAGCGGUGAAAUCCGUAGAUAUCAAGAGGAAUACUCAUUGCGAAGGCAGCAUACCGGCGCUCAACUGACGCUCAUGCACGAAAGUGUGGGUAUCGAACAGGAUUAGAUACCCUUGUAGUC
rnacentral:rRNA from 1 species